CCACUUCCCAAAUACAAAAUAAAUUUUUAAAAAUAACUGUUUAGUAGAUAUACUCCAAAUGAAAAAGUGCAUGCAUUUAACUAUGCAUAUUGUCAUUGGAUUUAUCUAAAACAGAUUGCAAAACCUGCAGUUCUCAUGCCUACUGCCUUUGCAAGCCGUCCUCUUCUAACCCCGCCCAGACUUUAUUUGGCUGUCCAAUCACAGACUUCCCAAUGCAGCUCAAUGACAAGUCUUUGGUAGGUGUUCUGGGAAAUUGCUGCCUCGUAAGUUCAGUGCUAAUAAGCCAACCAAA